AAGGUACGCAAUUAAAGCUGCACCGUCACAUUUCUGCAUCUGCACCUGCACCAAAACGCGACUUUGAGGUUGUGAUGGAAUUCUGCAGUCACACCCAGCCAUUUGCAAGAGUGUUCUGCCGGUGUUGGAUUGUGGCAAUGGAUUGCAUUCACAGGCUUGUGUACUGGUGCAGUGCUUAUGCAGAAAUGUUGCGUUGUAGCUCAAACUGGAUUGAG
rnacentral:pre_miRNA from 1 species